ACUGCGGCUAAUCUUUUUUAUACUGAGCGUAUUGGAACGUUAUCGAUAAGAAGAGAGCGUCUAGGCGAACAAUGUUCUUAAAGUUUGACCUCAAAUCAGGUAGGAGUACCCGCUGAACUUAAGCAUAUCAAUAAGCGGAGGAAAAGAAACCAACCGGGAUUGCCUUAGUAACGGCGAGUGAAGCGGCAAAAGCUCAAAUUUGAAAUCUGGUACCUUCGGUGCCCGAGUUGUAAUUUGGAGAGGGCAACUUUGGGGCCGUUCCUUGUCUAUGUUCCUUGGAACAGGACGUCAUAGAGGGUGAGAAUCCCGUGUGGCGAGGAGUGCGGUUCUUUGUAAAGUGCCUUCGAAGAGUCGAGUUGUUUGGGAAUGCAGCUCUAAGUGGGUGGUAAAUUCCAUCUAAAGCUAAAUAUUGGCGAGAGACCGAUAGCGAACAAGUACAGUGAUGGAAAGAUGAAAAGAACUUUGAAAAGAGAGUGAAAAAGUACGUGAAAUUGUUGAAAGGGAAGGGCAUUUGAUCAGACAUGGUGUUUUGUGCCCUCUGCUCCUUGUGGGUAGGGGAAUCUCGCAUUUCACUGGGCCAGCAUCAGUUUUGGUGGCAGGAUAAAUCCAUAGGAAUGUAGCUUGCCUCGGUAAGUAUUAUAGCCUGUGGGAAUACUGCCAGCUGGGACUGAGGACUGCGACGUAAGUCAAGGAUGCUGGCAUAAUGGUUAUAUGCCGCCCGUCUUGAAACACGGACCAAGGAGUCUAACGUCUAUGCGAGUGUUUGGGUGUAAAACCCAUACGCGUAAUGAAAGUGAACGUAGGUUGGGGCCUCGCAAGAGGUGCACAAUCGACCGAUCCUGAUGUCUUCGGAUGGAUUUGAGUAAGAGC
rnacentral:rRNA from 1 species